rnacentral:rRNA from 1 species
GAGUUUGAUCGUGGCUCAGAUUGAACGCUAGCGGGAUGCCUUACACAUGCAAGUCGAACGGCAGCACGGACUUCGGUCUGGUGGCGAGUGGCGAACGGGUGAGUAAUGUAUCGGAACGUGCCUAGUAGCGGGGGGAUAACUACGCGAAAGCGUAGCUAAUACCGCAUACGCCCUACGGGGAAGGCAGGGGAGUCGCAAGACCUUGCACUAUUAGAGCGGCCGAUAUCGGAUUAGCUAGUUGGUGGGGUAACGGGCUCACCAAGGCGACGAUCCGUAGCUGGUUUGUAGAGGACGACCAGCCACACUGGGACUGAGACACGGCCCAGACUCCUACGGGAGGCAGCAGUGGGGAAUUUUGG